GGUCCAGCCAGUAGCAAUACUGGGGAAGACCUAGUGGCGAACGGGUGAGUAACACGUGAGGAACCUGCCCCGAAGACCGGGAUAACCCUCCGAAAGGAGAGCUAAUACCGGAUACCUCCACCAGACCGCAUGAUCUGGUGAAGAAAUGGAUUCCGCUUCGGGAGGGUCUCGCGGCCUAUCAGCUUGUUGGUGGGGUAACGGCCCACCAAGGCUUCGACGGGUAGCUGGUCUGAGAGGACGAUCAGCCACACUGGGACUGAGACACGGCCCAGACUCCUACGGGAGGCAGCAGUGGGGAAUCUUGCGCAAUGGGCGAAAGCCUGACGCAGCAACGCCGCGUGGGGGAUGAAGGCUCUCGGGUCGUAAACCCCUUUCAGCAGGGACGAAACUGACGGUACCUGCAGAAGAAGCUCCGGCCAACUACGUGCCAGCAGCCGCGGUAACACGUAGGGAGCAAGCGUUGUCCGGAUUUAUUGGGCGUAAAGAGCUCGUAGGUGGUUCGGUAAGUCAGGUGUGAAACCUCCAGGCUCAACCUGGAGACGCCACUUGAUACUGCUGUGACUGGAGUCCGGUAGGGGAGCGUGGAAUUCCUGGUGUAGCGGUGAAAUGCGCAGAUAUCAGGAGGAACACCAGCGGCGAAGGCGGCGCUCUGGGCCGGUACUGACACUGAGGAGCGAAAGCGUGGGUAGCAAACAGGAUUAGAUACCCUGGUAGUCCACGCCGUAAACGUUGGGCACUAGGUGUGGGUCUCAACCAACGGGAUCUGUGCCGUAGCUAACGCAUUAAGUG
rnacentral:rRNA from 1 species